rnacentral:lncRNA from 1 species
UAAUGGCACCCUUUCUCCUAGAGCCAUAAUCAUGCUCCAGGAAUCAAGAGGUGGAAAUAGGAGUGGCACUCCCUAUCACCCCUAGUGACCCAUUGACAACAUUUUUGCUUCCAACUUUAUGCUCUGCUAACCUAGAGGUCCUAGUUACAAAGAAUACAAAGAAAGGCAUGUUUCCACCAGGAGACACAGCACUAAUCCCACUGGACUGGAAGUUAAGACAAAGAAUGCAAAGAAAGGCAUGCUUCCACCGGCAGACACAGCACUGAUUCCAUUGAACUGGAAGUUAAGACCAAUGCUCUGCAACUUCGGGCUCCUUCUGCUUCUGAAUCCAUAUGCAAAGAAGAGAGUCCCUGUGCAGCUGGGGUGAUGGAUCCUGGCUUCUAAGAAGAAAUUGGCCUAUACUACUCCACAGUGGAGUCUGUACUACGUUGUAAUCAGAAAACACGUUCAGCUGAGAAGCAAGGAUUGGCAACAGCAUCAUCGGUUUGAGGCUGCAUACACGGACGGAGCUGGUUGGCCUGGUCUGGGCUGGGAGCAGCUGGAGAACAGCUUCCAGUGGUCAGCUGGGCAGCUCCCCCUCGGCUAGAGGAUGACCCAUCUUACGCCUAUGGAGAACACUGCGGAAAUCACAGCAGGGGAGGUUUAAGCCCUCUGGGCCUCCCUCGUCGGGCACAAAGGUGUGAUGGUUUCCUCUGUUCAGGUGUGAGGAUAAAGGCGGCCAGGGAUUCAGGAGAUGGCGGGAGCAGCAGGUGCUGCCGGGUCAGGAGGCAAUACUCUCCUCCCACCUCCAGGGGCCAGGGCGUCCCUGGGGUCAGGUGAGGAGGGCAGGCAGAGGCAUGAAGGCCUCUCACCCCAAAUUUUCAUGCUGCGACAGAGGCCCCGAGGCCAUGGCAGGCAGCAAGCCCCCUCUCCCUCCGCACCCUGGUGCAGACAAACUGGUCACUUCAAAUUCCCACCUGGAAACAGGACACUGGGUUUGGUUUCAGGAGACAGCUGACCUGACCACGUACCCCCGUAGCAGCCGGAGCUACUGCCUGUCCGUCUGACCCAGCCCGGGCCCCGGUGGUUGGACUUGGCCACUGCUCUCCUCGCACCUGCGUCUGGUUUUGUUUACUCAUUUGUGUAAACAGCACACAGCUCUGGCAGAGACCAAGACUGUCCUCAAGUUGUGUAACGGACAGAGCUGGCAUACGAUGGAAGCUGUAAAGACUGAGUUUAGUUUAAUAUACCCAGUCACUUCCAGGGCACAGUUGACGGAGGCGAUGUUGAAUGCACAGCCCGAGUGUGUGGUCGGCCGGCUCCCGCUGCAGCAGGCGACCCUCCGUAUGGACAUCCUGCCUGCGAGGCCAGCAGCUGUCACGAGAACAGAGCGACGAUUGACGAUGCCGAGCUGAACGACAAUGGAGCAAAGCAGCAUUUACUUCAGCACAGCCUGGUGGCCGGAGCUAGGCCACCCUCUCCUCCCUGGGGACCUCCAGGCUUGAUGGAGCCCCUUCAGUGGACAAGUGGAACCACAGGCCUGAGAAGCUCUGCUGGGGACAGAGGCUAAACAGAGAGAAGGCCCCAGGCUUGGGCCAGUUCUACACAACGGGCAGCUGAGAUGGAGGGACGCCUGCAUCCUGCCGGCUUCCUCCACCCAACGGCCCCUGCUGACAUGUGUCCCCAUCUCCUCACACUGCCCUGGCCGUCCACUGCCCUGCGAGGCCUCUGAGGACAGAAGAGGAAGAGAGCUGCAAGGCUGGCACGGACACAGCCCCAUCCCCUGCGGUUCCUUCAGGGCAGGUCCUGCUCUGUGUUCACCAAUGGUGGCUGCGCAGUCCCACCCUGGGAACCUCAGUAAACGUCACCCACUGAAGACUCAAUGCUCAGGAGGUGGCCAGCCUGCACACAAGACCUCCAGGACCUCCUGCACUGAAUUAAAACUCAGGAUGGGAAAGGCUCCCCAGCCCUGGAGCCCUGACAGGGGUAAGCCCCCGAGACCCCAGUUCUGCCCAGAACUAGCCCUGAACUUGGAUGUGUGCAGGCACUCAAGGCAGGGGUGGACCAGCACAUGCCUGCAGGGGCUUUAGUUUAAAUGUAUAUGAUGCAUAUAUACGAUGAACACACAUGUAUACACACGUGGUGUAUACACAUGCGGCAUCUGCACACGACGUAAAUGCACCUGGCGAGUACACACGUGGCAUAUACAUACAUGCCCUGCAUAUACAACAUGGCACAUACACGCAUGAUAUACACACACAUGAUGAGUUAAAACCAGGCAGGAAAUUGCCUGAGGUGGCCCAGCUGGAGGAGGCCUUUGAAGCCAAGCACAGGACCCUCCAUUAAAGAAGAAUGACACCAAUGGUCACAGCAGUGCUGGUGCACACAGGAGGAGAGCGGGCUCCAUCCCUCACGUCCCCUUGGGUCACAGAAAUGCUGGUGAACAGUGGUGGAGAGGGGGCUCCACCCCUCAUGUCCCCUUUGCUGCUGUUUGCCUUAAUUAUGUGUUUGCAUCCACAAAACUACUUUUGGAUUCUGUGACUCAAAGAAAUGCAAAAUUAAAAAAUAAAUCUGCAAAAGUCCACCUGGUUUUCAAUCAAACCUGUCUUUCCUUCCACCCUCACCCCUCCUAAAAGAGAAAGGAAAGCUGUUGGGUGAAGUGUGGCUCCCAGUCAGGGACAGGGAUCAGCCCAG